rnacentral:rRNA from 1 species
UACGUAGGGCACAAGCGUUGUCCGGAAUUAUUGGGCGUAAAGAGCUCGUAGGCGGCCUGUUGCGUCCGCUGUGAAAUCCCGGGGCUCAACCCCGGGCCUGCAGUGGAUACGGGCUGGCUGGAGGCAGGCAGGGGAGAACGGAAUUCCUGGUGUAGCGGUGAAAUGCGCAGAUAUCAGGAGGAACACCGGUGGCGAAGGCGGUUCUCUGGGCCUGUUCUGACGCUGAGGAGCGAAAGCGUGGGGAGCGAACAGG